rnacentral:snoRNA from 1 species
CCAUGUGAUGAGUCAAAGGCGAAUGUGACCUGCUUCCUCCUGACCUUUCCCCUUUUCACCCCACUGUUCUGUCAAGUGGGGGUUGCCUGUACUGAUCUGUGAUCUUGGUGGGGGAGUAGGAGCCUCCCCCCACCGUAAAGUCAGAUCUAUAUCAGCAUCCUAUCCCCAGCCACAGCUACCGAGAGGCCCCAGUACCUGUGGUGUGGGAAAGGGGCACAUGCCUGCUUGGGUGUCAGA